rnacentral:rRNA from 1 species
GAGAUGUUGGUUAAGUCCCGCAACGAGCGCAACCCCUACUUGUUAGUUGCCAUCAUUCAGUUGGGCACUCUAGCGAGACUGCCGGUAAUAAACCGGAGGAAGGUGGGGAUGACGUCAAAUCAUCAUGCCCCUUAUGACCUGGGCUACACACGUGCUACAAUGGUUGGUACAACGAGUUGCGAGUCGGUGACGGCGAGCUAAUCUCUUAAAGCCAAUCUCAGUUCGGAUUGUAGGCUGCAACUCGCCUACAUGAAGUCGGAAUCGCUAGUAAUCGCGGAUCAGCACGCCGCGGUCGAAUACGUUCCCGGGCCUU